CGGUGGAGUAUGUGGUUUAAUUCGAUGCAACGCGAAGAACCUUACCUGGUCCUGACAUCCCGGAGACCCUUAGGAAACUAAGGGGUGGCUUCCAUCUGGAAGAAUCUGGAGACAGGUGCUGCAUGGCUGUCGUCAGCUCGUGUCGUGAGAUGUUGGGUUAAGUCCCGCACGAGCGCAACCCUUGCCUUUAGUUGCCAGCAGUUCGGCUGGGCACUCUAAAGGGACUGCCGGUGUUAAACCGGAGGAAGGUGGGGAUGACGUCAAGUCCUCAUGGCCUUUAUGACCAGGGCUACACACGUACUACAAUGGCCGAUACAAAGGGCAGCGACACUGCGAGGUGAAGCCAAUCCCGUAAAAUCGGUCUCAGUCCGGAUUGGAGUCUGCAACUCGACUCCAUGAAGUUGGAAUCGCUAGUAAUCGUGGAUCAGCAUGCCACGGUGAAUACGUUCCCGGGCCUU
rnacentral:rRNA from 1 species